rnacentral:rRNA from 1 species
CACUGAGUAUGAGUUUGAUCAGUGGCUACGAGGACGACGCUGGCGGCGUGCCUAACACAUGCAAGUCGAACGGGGUCAGUUACUUCGGUGAUUGACUUAGUGGCGAACGGGUGAGUAACGCGUGAGGAACCUGCCUUUCAGUGGGGGACAACAGUUGGAAACGACUGCUAAUACCGCAUAAUGCAGCUAGACCGCAUGGUCUUACUGCCAAAGCUUUAUGUGCUGAAAGAUGGCCUCGCGUCUGAUUAGCUAGUUGGUGGGGUAACGGCCCACCAAGGCGACGAUCAGUAGCCGGUCUGAGAGGGUGACCGGCCACAUUGGGACUGAGACACGGCCCAAACUCCUACGGGAGGCAGCAGUGGGGAAUAUUGCACAAUGGGGGAAACCCUGAUGCAGCAACGCCGCGUGAAGGAUGAAGGUUUUCGGAUCGUAAACUUCUAUCAACAGGGAAGAAACAAAUGACGGUACCUGAAUAAGAAGCCCCGGCUAACUACGUG